UACGUAGGGUCCAAGCGUUAUCCGGAAUCACUGGGCGUAAAGCGUACGUAGGCGGACAUUUAAGUGCAACGCGAAAUCCUGUGGCUCAACCAUAUGGACUGUGUUGCAUACUGGAUGUCUUGAGGAUGGCAGAGGCAAGUGGAAUUACCGGUGUAGCAGUGAAAUGCGUAGAUAUCAGGAGGAACACCGGUGGCGAAGGCGACACGCUGGGCCGUACCUGACACUGAUGCGCGACAGCAUGGGGAGCAAACAGG
rnacentral:rRNA from 1 species